UGGGGAAUAUUGCACAAUGGGCGAAAGCCUGAUGCAGCAACGCCGCGUGAGUGAUGAAGGCCUUCGGGUUGUAAAGCUCUGUCUUUUGGGACGAUAAUGACGGUACCAAAGGAGGAAGCCACGGCUAACUACGUGCCAGCAGCCGCGGUAAUACGUAGGUGGCAAGCGUUGUCCGGAUUUACUGGGCGUAAAGGAUGCGUAGGCGGAUUUUUAAGUGAGAUGUGAAAACCCUAAGCUUAACUUGGGGACUGCAUUUCAUACUGGAAAUCUAGAGUGCGGGAGAGGAGAAUGGAAUUCCUAGUGUAGCGGUGAAAUGCGUAGAGAUUAGGAAGAACACCAGUGGCGAAGGCGAUUCUCUGGACCGUAACUGACGCUGAGGCAUGAAAAGCGUGGGUAGCAAACAGGAUUAGAUACCCUGGUAGUCCACGCCGUAAACGAUGAGUACUAGGUGUAGGAGGUAUCGACCCCUUCUGUGCCGCAGUUAACACAAUAAGUACUCCGCCUGGGAAGUACGAUCGCAAGAUUAAAACUCAAAUGAAUUGACGGGGUCAUAGCUGUUUCCU
rnacentral:rRNA from 1 species